UACGGGGGGAGCAAGCGUUGUUCGGAUUUACUGGGCGUAAAGGGCGCGUAGGCGGCGUGACAAGUCACUUGUGAAAUCUCCGGGCUUAACUCGGAACGGUCAAGUGAUACUGUCGUGCUAGAGUACAGAAGGGGCAACUGGAAUUCUCGGUGUAGCGGUGAAAUGCGUAGAUAUCGUAAGGAAGACCAGUGGCGAAGGCGGGUCUCUGGACAGUUCCUGACGCUGAGGCACGAAGGUCAGGGGAGCAAACGGG
rnacentral:rRNA from 1 species